AAAGGGCUUGGAGAAAAACUGAAAAGAGCUAAGAUGAGCUUCCUGGCAGCCAAGAAGAAGAGGGAACCCUGUUCUCUUCCGAGAAACACAGCGUGUGGAUGGUGAAAACACAGUGCUUACGGGAACCCUCUGAUGCAGAUGCUCGAACAGACUCUUGGCUGCACUUGUGACCCAACAGCAGAAGCUCCAGCAAAUUCCAGCACCUCUCAGGUUUGGGGACAGCCUGAGGCCCAGGAAGGCCGCCGGAGGCCUCUCGCGGUUAGCAAGUCCCCACUGAUGCUGCUCUGACUGCCUCUCUGCCAAGCAGUUGCAGUGACCAAUCUGGAGUUAAAUGCCCAGCAUCCUUCUCCAGAUGGGUGGUGGCUGCCAAGAUGAGGAUUCCAUGGAACAAUUCUAACUGAGUUACUACCCUAUUUUAAAAUGUAUUUUUCAGCAAUCCCACUCCUGGGCAUAUAUCCAGCGCUAACUCUAGCUC